CUCGCCAAGUUCAGAUUCAGAAUCUCAUUGGAGAAGGAGUGGUGUGGUCCACUGGGUGAUGGAGAGGUUCAUUGUGUUACCCUGGGCCAGAUCUGGCCCAUAGCAGCAGGACAGAGGCUGGUGGCGUGAGAUUCCAGGUCAGCAUUAGCUCACUGGUGGCUUCCCUCUGGGUGCCAGUGGGCCCAGGUUGGUGGGCAGGGCAU
rnacentral:lncRNA from 10 species